rnacentral:tRNA from 1 species
UCCCCGGUAGCUCAGCCGGUAGAGCGGAUGACUGUUAAUCAUUAGGUCACAGGUUCGAGUCCUGUCCGGGGAGCCA